CAUAGAUUUCAUUGCUGAGUGAUAUUGCUUUCUGGCCGCAACACCGCAGGAUGGCUUCAGGCCCUAAUCUGGUUCCGGCACGGCACGCUGAGCCUUUGGUUAAUUCCUCUUCCUGGUGGGAAAUGAGAGUUAAAUUUGCCCGUCCA